CUAGUUCCUUCGAUAUCAGUAUAAUCUAAUAAUCAUGAUAUUUGCUGUGUUGGUGUAAUGUACUCUAUUAGAUUAUACUGAUAUCGAAGGAACUA